rnacentral:lncRNA from 1 species
CAAACUGGGGUCUCUGUUCCUUUCCACGACUGAAAGAAAAGCUGGGAUACAUGAAGACUGCCAUCCCUUGAGUCACUUGCCCUGUAGCUGCCACUGUUGGAAAAGGGCUUGCUUCUGUGUCCUUGUGCCCACUUUGAAAAUCCCUGGGAAGUCCUUGGAGUCAGAUGAGCAGGCCUCCGCCACUCUGCCAAAAAGUCUGUUCAAUCAGGAGUCCCCAACCCCUGAGCCAUGGACUGAUAUGGAGCUAUGGUCUGUUAGGAACUGGGCUGCCCAGGAGGAGGAAGUUUCACAUCACUAGAGAAGAGAGAAGAAGGACAUUUGUACUGGGAGGAGUCGACCGGUCCCAGUAAGGAGAAAGUAGCUACAGCGUCAUGGGUGAGCUGGGUCCCCCAAAAAGGAACUUUAAGGGAAUGGACUGAAUCAAGUCUGAGAUGUCCCCAAAGCAAGACCAAAGAACUGAGGAAGAGAAGCAUUCAUCAGAAACCAAAAUUCAGCUACAAGUGAGCAUCCAGAUGGAGGUAUUAUGAAGAGGAACUGAGACUGAGGGCAAAAGGUGCCAGCCAGAAUCCUGGAUAGGAGAGCAAGAACCAGGACCUCAUUUAAGAGACAACCUGCUUAAGGCAGAGUAAGGUGAGAUUGGAUUCACGCAAAGACCUGGAAUUCAAGUAGGUUAAUGAACAGACAGUGUGUGCCUAUACCACGAAUUUACAAUAAUAAUAAGGGUGCUAAUAAUCACAUGGAAUUGUAGAGUAUAAUGAAAAUAUACACACUGGAGAGAAAUUGCACGGGUUGGCAUCUCAGCUUUGUCAUUUACUAUAACAGUGACCUUGGG